AACACAAUACGUACAAUUCCAUUCAUUCUGAAAUUUCCAUUUUAGUUGCAUCAUUAAAAUGACUAGAGCCAACGUUCUUGCUCUUUGUAUGGUGGUUCUUGUUCUAGGAAUGAUAAUGGAGGUAACAGAAGGACAAGAAUGGUGUCAUGAUUAUAUGACAGGAAAGCAAAAGUGUGAAGCUAAACAUUGUGCUGCUCAGUGUAAACGGAAGUGGAAAGGCGUAGGCAGAUGUAUGCCAUCAAGCACACAGUGUCUAUGCACUUUUAAAUGCAACAAAUGAUUUUUUUUUUUGUUAUCUAUAAACUAUCAUCGAUAUUUUAAUAAAAUAAUGGGUUAAAAAGAAAUUGCACUCUUUUCUAAUAUUUAUGCGAAUGUGAAUUAUGAUUUUAGUUAUUGGCUUGAACUGUAAAUUUCUAUUUUGGCACAUGUGCACUAUCAUCUGUUGAUGAAUAUCAAUACUAGCAAAUUUUGAAAAAAAUAUAAAUACUAAAAAUUAAAAAUUGCAUGUGGCGAUGAAUUGGGAGAAUGCGAAAAUUGUAUGUGUUUUUUUUUUUUUUUUUUCAGAAAUAAGAGAGUGCAAAUUGAUGUUUUAACAUAUGUAUAGAAGUGGUAACAGAAGAAAACAUGCAAGAAC